GCCAGGUGUGGUGGUGGGCACCUAUAGUCCCAACUACUCAGGAGGCUGAGGCAGGAGGAUUGCUUGAGCCCGGGAGGUCGAGGCUGCAGUGAGCCAUGGCCAGGCCACUGCACUCCAGCCUGGGCAACAGAACAGGACCCUGUUUCAA
ensembl:misc_RNA Metazoa_SRP Metazoan signal recognition particle RNA